UUGCUGCUGCCUCCUUGCUGUGGGUCAUGACUUUCCUCCAACCAUCUGUGGAGAAUUUUUGUUUUACAUUUCAAUUGACACCAAUAACUAAUUAUAAAAACUGGUUACCUGGACUACACACUUUACUUUCUAAGAGAAAGGAGAGCUGAGCCUUACAUGAAGAUGAGAUGAGUUGAGGAGACAUGACACUUGUACUGCUCAACCCCAAUCAAGUGAAUGGAGAUGUUAACUGUGUCAUCUUUUUGGCUCCAAGUGGUGUCAGGGGCCAGCCUCUGUGUCACCCCAUCAACGGCACUGAGUGGUGGCAUUCCCAGGCGCUUCAUGUUCAACACUUGGCUCUCUGAGUGGAGAGAGAGGAGAGGAGAGGGGGGACUUUCCACGAUGCCUAUCACAUCAAUAUCUUUCACUGCUCCACAUGGAUGAUGAAUUGUACCUUCUUGGUGUCCAGCUGCUUCACGUCUGUGAUCCCAAAGAAGAACUUUGUUAACUCCUCAUCAUCCAAGUCCGCAGUGAUGAACAGCUCGGAAGUUUGAUCGUCACCAUUAGAGACAUCCUGGAACACAACACACCUUAUUAUCCUUCAAUUAGAGAUUCUCCACAUUCUGCCUGCUAGACCAACUCACAUCAUCAUUAUAAGGCCUUUAUGAUCACCAUGAACCAUAUUUCCUAGAUUAAAUACAUCAUAAUAUUCAAAUGCCAUACAGUCAUCCCUCAUGUUCCACAGGCUUGAUAACUGACACUGCAGAUUUUAAAGAUGUACAUAUUUGCUACACUUCAGCAAACACCCCUCUAGUACCUCUUUAUAUAAUUAAGAAAAGCACCAUGAACAUUUACAAUAAAUACUUUUUUACAUCUGAAAGCCAGUAAAAA